UACGUAGGGUGCAAGCGUUGUCCGGAAUUAUUGGGCGUAAAGAGCUCGUAGGCGGCUUGUCGCGUCUGCUGUGAAAACCAGAGGCUCAACCUCUGGCCUGCAGUGGGUACGGGCAAGCUAGAGUGCGGUAGGGGAGAUUGGAAUUCCUGGUGUAGCGGUGGAAUGCGCAGAUAUCAGGAGGAACACCGAUGGCGAAGGCAGAUCUCUGGGCCGAUACUGACGUGAGGAGCGAAAGCGUGGGGAACGAACAGG
rnacentral:rRNA from 1 species